rnacentral:lncRNA from 1 species
UUAUUUUGAAAGUAUUUUCAAAAGUAAAAUGACAGCAUUUGGCCAUGGAAGUGAUCGAAUACAGCUAUCCUCUCAAGUGCAUGUUGCCAGUCAUGGUUUUCUGUUUUUAGUGUGAAAUAUGAGUUGGCGAGAAAGACCAACCUAUCGGCCUAGAGUACUAUGAUAUAUACAACUUUCUGAGGUGACUGGGCCUAUGCUGCGCGAGCAGUGCAAUCAUGAACCACCUAAGGAAGUGGAACCACCAUCUCAAAGUCUGGAUCCUGCACCUGCUCAAAAGAGAAAGGAUGAAGGAACAUUGACAGCUCAAGGUGAAGGGCAACCACAGUGUUAAAAGAAGAUACACUGAAAUGAUGCAGGCUGUUCCUAUGUUGGAAAUUUGUUCAUUUAAGUUCUCUCAAUAAAGCUUUAUAGCCUUCUGCAAAGAAGUCUUAUGCAUCUUUUGUGACUUUAUUUCUAGG